GAACUUGGAUGGUCAAGGCUCUCAGCAAGCAGAAGAACAUAUAUCCUCUAUUUUUACAGAAAAUAUUUCACUGCAAAAUAAAGCUGGUAAUGUACCGGAUGAAACCAUCAAUACUGUUUCAGAGGUUUCAAGUUUUAAACAGAUAAAGAGAAGGGUUAAACAAUUCCCUGCCAAGGAUGAAACAGUCAAAGUUGAUGCUGAAAUUAUCACAACAAAAGAGAAACUCUCAACUAAAACGGCUGAAGUCUCAGUUACCAUACCUCAAGCUGAACCCUGGACAAUUCUUGCUCACAAGAAGCCUCAGAAAUGUUGGAUUCCAUAUAAUCCCAGAACCAUGAGGCUCUGCCUCUUGCUGAGGAUGCAAAGUUUGUGAAGCUAAUGUCUUGGAAUGUCAAUGGGUUAAAAGCAUUGUUAAAGUCAGAGGGAUUCUCUGCUGUUGAACUUGCCCAA
rnacentral:misc_RNA from 1 species